UUCAACCCUGAGUGUCCAGGAGGGAGACAGCGCUGUUAUCAAGUGUACUUAUUCAGACAGUGCCUCAAACUACUUCCCUUGGUAUAAGCAAGAACUUGGAAAAGGACCUCAGCUUAUUAUAGACAUUCGUUCAAAUGUGGGCGAAAAGAAAGACCAACGAAUUGCUGUUACAUUGAACAAGACAGCCAAACAUUUCUCCCUGCACAUCACAGAGACCCAACCUGAAGACUCGGCUGUCUACUUCUGUGCAGCAAGUAAAUACCGGCACUGCCAGUAAACUCACCUUUGGGACUGGAACAAGACUUCAGGUCACGCUCGGUAGGUAA
rnacentral:lncRNA from 1 species